GACGUAGGGCGCGAGCGUUGUCCGGAUUUAUUGGGCGUAAAGAGCUCGUAGGCGGUGUGUCGCGUCGGCCGUGAAAACCUGCAGCUUAACUGUGGGCUUGCGGUCGAUACGGGCAUCACUGGAGUUCGGCAGGGGAGACUGGAAUUCCUGGUGUAGCGGUGAAAUGCGCAGAUAUCAGGAGGAGCACCGGUGGCGAAGGCGGGUCUCUGGGCCGAUACUGACGCUGAGGAGCGAAAGCGUGGGGAGCGAACAGG
rnacentral:rRNA from 1 species